AUUUAAAGCUCUACCCCUCCCAAAAUGACUCUUAUUUUUAAAGAGCAUUGCCUUUUGUUUUAGCCUCUUUCUGUGAAAGUUUUAUGACCCUCCCCACCCUCACCCCAGGAACUCAACAGGGGCCACUCUUUGUAGUGGAGGGUGAGGGUCCAGGGUUGGGUCCAGGCCUCAGCUCCCUCCUCUGACUUCCUACCAGAACACCAGGCUGGCUUCGAAGGGCUUCAGGCAGAGGAGUGUGGCAUCCUGAACGGCUGUGAGAACGGCCGCUGUGUGCGUGUGCGGGAGGGCUACACCUGUGACUGCUUCGAGGGCUUCCAGCUGGACAUGGCCCACAUGGCCUGUGUGGAUGUGAAUGAGUGUGAUGACUUGAACGGGCCUGCUGCACUCUGUGCCCAUGGUCACUGCGAGAACACGGAGGGCUCCUACCGCUGCCACUGCUCCCCCGGUUAUGUGGCCGAGGCAGGGCCCCCCCACUGCACGGCCCAAGGAGUAGCAGUGAGGGGUCAGCGUCGGCAGCUACCUGGAAAUGGGCCUGAGGCAGGGGCCUUGAGGACGCUUUCCUAGCUGGGAAGAUACCAUGAAGUCAUCGGGCAGGAGGCCCUGCAGCCCCACUCCCAGCCAGCCUUGCCUGCUUUUCAUCUCUCCCAGUUUAGGCUCGGGCUGUGAGCUUGUCACUGACUCCAUGCCACCAUGCCCUUGCUUGGCUCAAACACCACCAAAUGCUUUAAUGCUUCAGCCACUGGCCACAAGGCCCAGUCCGCCAUCUGUCCUGGCCUGACUAUGAGACGCUUACCAAAGGAUGGCCCUCAUCCUCCCCCGCAAGCUGUGCAAACGUGCAAGGUCCUUUGGCCUUACACCGCACCUUUUCCAGCCACGAUCCACCUAUCAUCCUGAUGACUGCAAAACUGGGUCCGAGGCUACACCUGUCUUAGGAUGGGCCUUCAGAAUCUGUGGAGCACAAAUGGAUUGGAGGAAGUUUGGGGAGUGACUCCAACGCCUCCUACCAAGAACCAUCACUGCCACUUAGCCAGUCUGGUCUGGACCAGAUUUUGCCACAUCAUCUUAUAGUCACUUCUGUGGCCCCUGGGAGGAGCAGAAGAUCCCCUCAUCUCAGAAAAGCAAGACUGAUACCAGCUUGCUGAGUGUAAGAGACACAAAUGAAGGGGAGCAAGAAGACUGAGAAAGCAAGAGGGAAAUAUUAAAAAUAUAGGGAAUUGAGAAAAAGAAAAGGGGUGGGGAGCCAGGGCUUCACACAAAUCUAAAGAAAAUAUUCAGUUGCUUUGAGUAAAUAUUCAAAAUGUACCCAGCGGUAGCUCCUUUACACAAGACAGGGUGCCCGUCUCGGAAGACCUGCUCCUUACAGGAAACACCUUUCUCCUGGGCUCUCCUUUUGUGGGCACCAGUUUGAGUGUUAAAAAUAAAGAGGUCUAUUUUCUAGCUUGUGGGAUACACGUAGUCCUGUUUGGGGGGAAGCCAGAUUUCCUGUUGUUUCUCCUCUCUUCUCAGAAGCCUCUGCCCUCUCAACCUUCAUAAAAUGGCUGGCUGGCAUCCCUCUGAGUUCACAAGGAAAGACCCACUCCAACCUUGGCUAGCUGGGAAUUUAGUUAGAAUACAGGAAUGUACAUCCGGGCUCUUCACUGUUGUUUCACAUGAAACCACAUUUCUUUACCAUGUUGGCUAAGUCUAAGUAUUAGCGAGGAGGCUGUGCCUACCUCUCGCCAGCUCUGCCAGUAGCCUGUGAUGGGGUUCCAGUGGGAAAAGGUUCUUUACUCUUCUGAGACGAGAAAGCUCUGACGUUGUAUUCCUCGAAUGAACUGCAAUGUAAAUGAGCAAGGCUCCCUGUGCCUGGAGACAUGGAAAUGAAUACUAUUUUCUUAAUUUAAUCUGUCCUGUCCUACCUGCUGCUCUGAUCGUCAGCCAUCACAUAACUUAUUGAAUGCUUGCUCUGUGCUAGGCAAUGUUGAGUGCUAUACCCAAAUUUCAUUUAAUUAUCCAACAAUCCAAUUUACUAUUUUUAUUCCCAACUUAGAAAUGGAAGUAUUCUGACCCUCACUCACAAUAAAAAAAAUGCAAGUGAAACCACCCUGAGACGCUCUUGUCGGUUGGCAAGCACCUGGGGAAAGAGGCACAUGCAUAGCUGACAGAAGUAUGAAGUGAUACAGCUUCUGAAAGGAUAUGGAAAUGUCUUUCAAUAUUAUAAAAGCACUUACUCUUUGAAUCAAUAAUUCCACUUCUAGGAAUUUAAUCUUCAGCUAUUUUUCUCACCAAAUGUGAAAUGACAUGUGUUAGAGGUUAUGGUAUAGCAUUAUUUGUAAUAGCAAAAGAUUAGAAACAAUUACUAUUAAUUGCUAUGGAGCCCUAAAAAGAAAAAGUGGCUCUAAAUGCCUUGAUAGGAUAUCCAAAAUAGAUGAAGGGGAAAGGUGGGUUGUAUAGCAAAGUGUAACACAUGCUGCUACUUGUCUAAAGAAAGGGGAGAAUUGGGUAUUCGCUAACUCCAUCUUACACUCCAUAUUUCAGAGAAUGUCACCAUUCCUCAAUAUACCCUGCUGGCACUGCACUUCCUUAAGUGCUGUUCCCAUUGCCCCUCCUCCUAACUCUCACCACCCUGCUUGCCCUUCCAGAGAUAUUUCAUGCAUAUACACACAUUUCUAUGUACUAAAAACACAAACAGCAUGCUAUGCAUGCUGUCCUACACUUGCUUUUUUCACUUAAUUAUAAGUUUUCUCUCUUGGGCCGCGACCAGCACGGCUAGAGAGCGGACGAGUCCUGAGUAGGGACGGCUGGGGAUUGAGAAAAGGAAAAAAAGAGACAGACACAAAGACUUUAAGUAAAGCUGGGACCAGGUGGGACGCUGCCCUCAGAUGGAGACACAGUGACCCAGAGCUAGUGCAGGGCGUUUAUUAUAUACAGCAUGAUACCGGGAAGUUUUACUAGAGUUUAAGACAAAGGAAAUUAUGUGAAAUCAUGGUUAAAGAUCAAGCAGCAAUUCUUCAUUCUUGUGACUUCUUUGUAAUUGUCACUCCUGGCUGAGCCCAGAUAAUUGCAUCCGUUCCUGGUGCCUGGCUGAACUUAAAUAAUGAAACCCACCCCCUGGUGCCUGAGCUAAAGGUCAGGCUGACAACAUACCUGCCUCUGGCAAGGUAUGUUUCCAGGACGUGGCUCUGCUGACACCACGGGACUCAGAUGACAAUCAGCUCAUGCGCCUUCCCAGGCGCUCUCUACACUUAAUACAUGCUUGCACAUACGAGCUCUCUCAUCCUGUUUUGUAAGUGUAUACUAUUCCAUUGAAUGGAUAAAUCAUAAUUUAUUUCAUCAGUCCCCUACUGGUGGACAUUUCCAUUGUUUUCUAACUUUUGCUAUUAAAAACAAUGCUAUAAUGAUUAUUCUUGUGCAAAUGUUAUUUCAUAUUAUUUCUAUGGAUUAUAUACCUGUGGGCUAAAUUCUUAGAAACAAUGGUAACUUGUGGGGAGGAUGACAGGGUGGAUGGGUACAGUAUUGGAACACUUUUUCAUUGUAUCCCCUUUUGUGUCUCUUGGAAUUUUGUACCAUAUGUAUUACCUAUUCAAAAAAAUAAAAUAUUUUUAAAUACA